rnacentral:rRNA from 1 species
UACGUAGGUGGCAAGCGUUGUCCGGAUUUAUUGGGCGUAAAGCGCGCGCAGGCGGUGCGGUAAGGCUGCCGUGAAAUCGCCCGGCUCAACUGGGCGGGUGCGGUGGCGACUGCCGGACUGGAGGGACUCAGAGGCCGGUGGAAUUCCCGGUGUAGUGGUGAAAUGCGUAGAGAUCGGGAGGAACACCAGUGGCGAAGGCGGUUCUCUGGGACGGUACUGGACGCUGAGACGCGAAAGCGUGGGGAGCAAAGCGGG